GGCAGGAGCUCUGGGCGAGGGGUGUGUGUGUGUGUGUGUGUGUUUGUGUGGGUGUGGGUGUGGGUGUGGGUGUGUUUGUUUGUGUGUGUGGCUUUUCAGAGGGCACGGUUUUUCUCCGAGUUGAACUACUCACCGACUGACUGCCCCGAGGGGCUGAAGAUGCUGCCCCAGUCGGUGGCGAGGUUCGGCGCAACAGCUCUCUUGUAGCCAGAGUCUGGCACUGGACGCGCGCCGUGACUGUGCAACUGUCUUCACGAGAAUCACGUGUGCCCGCUAGGAUUACCCUUCCUGUGUGUGUGCCCCGACCAGCCCGACACUGCCUCAGCCUGGAAGACUUUCAGGUCAGGUUCUGCUUCUCGACCGGUGUGUGCUGUGCCUGAAUUUGUGUGUCAGGCCAGCUAAAAAGAAGCUCUUUCCCUACAGCAAUGAUUUUAAAAUUCAUGGAGUAUCCACUGCAGCACUGUGAGGUAAGUGUUUUUAAGGGUAUCGUCCCUUGUUCCAUCCAGAUGAGGAAACUGAGACCCGUAGAGGUUAAGGGGUGAAGUAACUUACCCAGAGCCACCUACUCAGCAAGGGCAAGGUCAGGGUUAAAUCCAGGUCAGAGAAAAACAUACAGAGACAUGGGAUUUGGCCAUAAACUGCAGUGCACCUCAGUGUCCAGUGUCCUUUGGUUCAAAAGACAGGUGAACGUGUAAGACAGCUUAUCCUGAUUACACUGGAUCAGUGCUUGGAUAGAGCAUGAUGUCUCAGGUGCACGAGAGACUGUGAGGUGACGAGUCAAUACAGGCACAUCACUAAGUCGGGAUCUGGUUCAUAUCAAGGUCUAUACACGCGUUUGCUGCGGCAGAUUUCAGCGUUGGUAUCCUCAUCAUGAUCAUUAUGGACAGUAGUUUAUGGUAUAUAUAAUGUUUGGAAACAAAACAACAGAUAAAAUCCUAUAAAGUCGUUUUUCUAAAGACUCGAUCUCUUUGGUAUCUUGACAUUUCAAGAUAAUGAAUUGCUUUGAUAUCCUUGCCAGCUGAAAACCCAAUCAGUGCAUUUAAAGUGGAGGAGAGCUAUGUGGGACAGUAGAGCAGAGCAGUGAGGGAAGCAGAGAGGUUUGGAUGGAAGGUUAGCUAAGUCUGCAAGGGCUAUGAAAAUGCCACAGACGAUGCAGGCCAAAACCAAACCAAAUCAGACAGCAACUUGCUUGUCCCUAAGAAGAGACAGUUGUGCUAUUGAGAUAAGUAUCUCUAUUAAAAUUUCUUAGACUUUUGCUCUCUUUUGGCCCCCAGGGUGCAGUGUGUGGUUCUUACAAGGUAGCACUGCUUUGGUCACGCUGUGGGUGAGAGUGGCAGCCUCACCUGAAGCAUUCUCCGUUUGUGGGCCACCUGGAACAUGUUACUUGAAGUCUGGAGGCCUACGGAUUCAUAAGAGAAAACAGAAAGCAAAUGCAUAGUACAAUAGUUAGAUCCAGCCACCUCCAGUAGAGCCCUACAUAGCAAGUGAGAUGCAGGCACAGGUAUUGUAGUCAUUGGUUGGGAAGUAGCAGGGUUGGGUUGGGUGACUCAAAGAAGAAGCAUGGAAGUGAGUACAAGGUGAGAAAACACAUUAAGAGGGGACAAACAGCGAAAAUCCCGUUUUCUGGCCUUGCUUUUCUGCUAUGAAAAUAGAGUGCUCUAGUAUUGUGGGGAGAGGUUACCCUGGUCCGAGGUCCGGGAGGGAAUCGCUGCACUUAGUGAUGAGCGUUCUGAUGACCCACCAUGAACAGUAACGAGGGGACACUGAGUGUGUGAAGGCACAAAGGUCUCAGCCUUUACCAUAGACAGACUCAUAAAGUUUCUUAGCCUUGCUGAGAGUAACGCUGCCUCACCUUACAGAAGCUCGAAGCCGCCAUCUGGCAACACCACUGGUGCUCCUCCAUCUCCUGAUCCAGCUGGGGGGUGGCUGCCCAGGCACUGUUCCCUGAGCUGCAUAAGUAUGAUGGUAACCGUGUGUGUGUGUGUGUGUGUGUGUGUGUGUGUGUGUGUGUGUGUGGCAAAUAUAGGGUGAGAGACUCUAUUCAUUUAACUAUGAUUCACUAAAUAAGCUUCAGCUCUUACCUAGACACUGUAGACACUGUGUUGGGUGCCUGGGCGAUACAGUAAACCAAGACACAUCACUGCCUUCAUGGAGUGAGUUUAAGCCAAAUCAUUCGAGAAUAGUUAAUCUAACAAUCAUAUAAGUCAAUGUAAAAAUUACUACCGUGACUAGUGGUACCAAAGAGGUGUGUUUUAUUGAGGUCUGAUUGAUAGGUAAAGCUAUAGGUAGAGGUAUUCACAUGUACAACCCUUUCUUCUUGUUGGUGUGGUUGUUAUUAUAUGAUUAUCAUUAGCGGUAAGAACACUUUUAACAUAAGAUAAUCUCUUAGCAAUUUUAAGUAUAUAACACAGUAUUGUUAGGUAAAGGCACUACGCUCUGUAGGUCUCCAGAACAUACUUCUCUUUCAUAGUUGUAACUUUGUACCUUUGACCAUCACCUCACCAUUUACCCCUCCCCUUACCCCUGGCAGCCAUUGUUCUACCCUCAGCUUCUAGGAGUCUGACUAUUUUAGAUUGCACGUAGAAGGGAGAUGGCCCAGUAUUUGUCUUUCUGUGUCUGGUUUAUUUUAGUAGCCAUCAAGUCCUCCACGUCCAGAUGACAUGCUCUUAUCUGUGUAAAACCCUGAAGAUUCUGACAAAAAGAAAUUGUUAUACCUAAGGAACCAAUUCAGUAACAUUACUUUCAUUUUUAAAAAUAGCUUACUGGAUAUGAGAUUCUUGGUUGUUGAGCAUUUUUUAAUUUUUUAAUUACCCAGUUAGUUCCUUCUGGCCUCCAUAUUUUCUGCUGAGUAAACUGCUAUUAAUUGUAUUUCCCUCAUAAGUGACUGGUCAUUUUCUCUUGUUGUUUUCACAAUUUUCUCCUUGCCUUUGGCUUUCGGCAUGUUUACUGUGAUGUGUCUAUGAAUCUCUCAUUUAUCCUACUUGGAGUUCAUUGAGUUGCUUUCAGGCACUGUUUCUUUGAAUAUUUUUUUCUGCUCCUUUCUGUCUCUGUUCUGGUACUCUCCUGCAUCUGUGUUGGUGUUAAGAGUGUUCCAUAUGUUUGUGCAGCUCAGUUUAUUGCCUUCAUUUGUUUCCCUCACUUUCUUCAGACUGUAUAAUCGCUGUCCAUCUGUCUUCAAGAUUGCUAAAUCUUUCUCUGGUAGUUCAACUAGUGUUGAUCUCCUCGAGUGAAUUUUUCACUUUAGUUACCGCACUUUUGAACUGCAGAACUUGUAUUUGGUUCUUUUUUAAAUAAUUUUUCUCACUUUAUUGUUAUUCUGUCUUUGAUGUGACAUUUUCAUCAUACCUUCCUUUACUUUUUUGAUUGUGGUUUUCUUUGUUCUUUGGACCUGAUUAUAACAGCUACUUUGAAUUCUUUAUCAAAUCUGACAUCUGGUUGCAAGCACCGGCAGUUUUUGUUGCUUAUUCAUGCUUUCCUGUUUUUUGAAUUAUCAUAAUUUUUUUCUUGUCUAACUAUCUAAAAUAUUGGAGCAGUACUGGGUACUGAUCCAUCCCACCCCUUCCUGGGUUUGUUACCUCUGUUUCCUUGUCUAGUUGUUUAGUGUCUAGCUGGUUUAUUUUAGUGGAGUCUGUUUUCUCUCCUUACUCUCGCCCACCCCCACCCUUGUGUUAGGCUUCAGAUUUUAGUCCUCAGGGAGAGACGACUUGGGGAUGCCUACUGUCCCCUUGGGAUGACUGGUUGCGGCAGGCUUCUCUCUGAUUGUCUCUUUGCCUGACCACACCCAGCUGUUCCGGUUCACUGACUGUGGGCUACUUGUUCAACUGUUUUCAGCGAUACCCUGGAUAUAUUGCUUCAUAAUCUAAACCAGUGAAAUCCAUGCUCCUUUGAAGGGCUAGCUGCUGAAGUUACUGUUUCAGAGUUUUUCUGACCCUAGGCAGGCUCCUUGCAGCUGUCUCUUCUCCCUGAUUGUCUCAGGUAAUCCGGCCAGCCUACAGUUGAUCCUCUAUGUCCAAGACUUCUACCAGUCUCCUACCGUUUGCCUUGUACCACAACCUCCACUGUUUUGCAAGUGCCCUUGGGCUUGCUUGACCUUCUCCUCAACACCCCUUUGCAAAUGAACUUUGUUCCUCUGAGAGGAGCUAUCUGCUUCAAAACCUCUGAGCCACAACUCUGUAGUUGGGGAGUGGGGACAAUGGCAGCACAUUCUUUCUCCUGUUUUUCAGCAUUGCACUAUGUAGCGUUGCUUUUGAAAAUUUCCAUUUUUAAUUGUUUAUGGCUGGUAUACGGAAGCAGAAUUUACUUUUACAUACUGACUAUGUGUCUCUUCACGUUGCUAAACUCGCUUCUUAAUUCAAGUAAUGUUUUAUGGGUUUUUCUUACAGAUUCAGGUGUUGCCAGUGAAUAAUGACUGUUUUACUUCUUUAUUUCUUUACUUCUUUAUUUCUGCUUGACUUUUUUAUUGGCUAGAACAGCCAGGAAAAUAUUGACUAGAAGUGGUGAAAGUAUGCAUACUUACCUUGUUCCCUGUCUCAGGAGGGAAACAUUCAGACUUUCAGGAUUAACGAUUACAGUAGCUUUAGAUAUUUUUGUGGAUGCCAGUUAUCGGUUUAAGGAUGUUGCCAAUAAACUGAAUGAAUCUUGCCAUCUCCCCAACAUUCACGUUGAAACCUUUCUCCAGUAUGAUGGUGAUUGGAGGUAGGGCCUUUGGGAGGUGAUCAGGUCAUUCAGGUGAAGCCCACAUGAAUGGCAUUAGUGCCCUUAUAAAAGAGACCCACCCCUGAGAGCUCCCUCGGCCCUCCUGCCAUGUGAGGACAAGAAGUCAGCGGUCCGUGAAGCAGGAAGCAGGGCCUCACAUCCCAAAUCUGCUGGCACCUUGAUCUUGGGCUUCCUGGCAUCUGGAAAUAUGAGAAAUAGAUUUCUCUUGUUUUUAGAAGUCAUCCAGUCUGUGGUAGUUUUGUUGCAGCAGCCCUAGGAGACUAAGCUAGAAAUCCUUCUUUAUUCCUAGUUUGCUAGGAGUUUUUAUCAAGUAAAUUUAUCAAAUAAAUACUCUUUAUGCAUCUAUUGAGAUGCUUAUAUAUUUUUAGUCUGUUAUUAUGGUCAGUUAGCGUGAGUGAUUCUGAAACAUUGAACCACUCUCAAAACUGUGGAACCAUUUCACUAUGGUAUUUUGUCUUUUUUCUAUUUUGCUGGUUUCAAACAGCCGAUAUUUUAUUUUGGAUUAUUGCAUCUGUGUUCAUGAGUGCUAUUGCUCUUGUUAGCCUCAAAAGUAGAACAGCCAGUUAUUUUACCAGCAAAAAUGAGUUUAUUCAGGAAUAGCAGAGAAUUACAGUUUGGAACAAGCAACCUAAGGCAAAAUCCUAGGCAAGUUCAAUAAGCAAAGUAGAGGAACGUUAUUUUAUGGAGAAGAAGGAGGAAGUUGGAAGGGUUGUUUUGAAUGAAAGUCCAUCGAAGAAAAGCAAGAGUUUAGGGUAAUGACAGUUUCUCAUUGGCUGAGUUGGAGGCGUAGUCAGUAUCUUACAGGACAUGCAAUGUACAUCUUUUCCUGUUGGGGCCUACAUGAUUCUUUCAUGUUGAUUAUUCUUCUGUUGGGUCUAUAACUGACAGUUCUUCCUGUAAUUGACGUUGAAGUGGUAUGGUUCUCCCUUCUAGGCUCUGGACUCUAGUGAGGUUUCUCUUUUUUUUUUUUUUUUUUUUUCCAGAGUCUGUUAUUUAUUUUCUUAAUUUUUUGUCUUGCUUUCAUAUCAGGAUAUUGCUGGCUCUAUAACAUGUGUUAGGAAGUGUGACCUCAUCUUCAGUUGCCUGGAAGACUUUGUUCAAACCUGCACUAUUUCUUUCAUAUGUGUUUGAUAGAAUUUAAACAGUGAAACCAUUCAAGCCUUGAGUUUUAUGUGAGGGAAGGGUUUUUGUUUUCUGUUUGAUUUAGUGAAUUCAAUCUCUGACAGAUAUAAGGCUAGUGGUGUUAUUUUCUUGACUGGGGCCUGCGAGCCAGGGCCUUUCAAGGGGUUUUCCCAUUUCAUCUUUUUUUUGGAUAAUAUUUUCAAUAAUAUUUUCUCAUCCACUUCAUGUCUGAAAGAUCUGUAUUGAUGUCUCCUCUGGCAGUAGUGAUAUUAGUAAUCCAUGUCACUCUGCCCUCAUUCCUUAUUAUCAGUCUGGCUAAACCUAUUAGAUUUACUGGUCCUGUCACAGAACCAGCUCUUAGUUUCACUGAUUCCUUUGUAUCGAUUUUAUGAUUUCUAGUAGGUCAAUUUCUGUUCAAACCUUCAUUAUACUUUUUCUGCUUCCCUUAGGUUUAAAUUGAUUUUGCUUUUCUAAUUUCUUAAGGUGACAGUUUAGACAGUUGAUUUCAGACAGUUCUUCUUUUCUAAUGUAAAUAUUUAAUGAUAAAAAUUCCCCUCAAUGCAUUGUUGUAGAUUCACCUUACAGAUUUUGAUAUGCUGUGUUUUGGUUUUCUACUUCUUGCAGGUUCUUCUUUGAUCCCUGCAUUAUUGAGAAAUGCCAUUUAAUUUCAAAAUAUUCUGUGGUUUUCCAGACACCUUGCUGCAAUUAAUUUCUGUUUAAUUCUUUGCGGUCAGAGAACCCAGUUUGUAUGAUUUCAGCCCUUUAGAAGUUGUUGAGAUUUACUUUAUGGCACAGAAUAUGGCCUGUCUUGUGAACCUUGUGUGUGCACUUCAGAAGAUGGUGUCUUGUGCUGUCCUUCUGUAAGCAUCCGUUAGGUCAUGGCUGUUGAUAGUGUUGCUCCACUGCUCCAUAUAGUUUCUGAUUGUGUUGUCCACUUGUACUGUCAGUUGUGGAUGGGGGAAUGUUGAAGGCUUCAGCUAACUGAUUUCUCUGUUUUUCCUUUUAGUUUUAUCAGUUUUUAGCUCUUGUAUCAGUUUUUACUAAUGCAUGCACAUUCAUGAUUUUUGGAUCUUCUCGAUGACUGGACCUCUUUUAUUAAGUAACAUCUGUCUUUUCCCCUUGUGAUAAUCCUCAUUCUGAAGUAUAUUCUCUGUAAUAUUAAUUUAGCCCUUCCAGCUUUUCCUGUGAUUCACGUUUGCUGGGUGUAUGUGUCUUAGUGUGUUCGGGGUGCAGGAACAAAAUACCACAGACUGGGCGGCUUAUAAACAAACUUGGUAUCUCACAGUUUUGGAGGCUGGAAGUCCAAGAUCAGGGUGCCGGCAUAGUUGGGUUCUAGUGAGGACCCUCUUCAAAGUCACAGAUUUGUGGUUGUGUCCUCACAUAGUGGAAGGACAAAGGAUCUCUGGAACCUCUCUCAUAAGGGUCCUAAUCCUAUUCAUGAGGGCUCUGCCCCAGGGCCUCAUCACCUUCCAAAGGCCACACCUCCUAGGUUAGGAGGUAUGGGGUUUAGGAUUUAACAUAGGAAUUUUGGAGGAGACAUUUUCAAACCAUAGCAUUAUCGAUAAAUUUUCCUUUCAGUUACUUUUAACUUAAUUUAUGUAUUCAUAUUUAAAGUGAGAUUCCUUUUGACAGUACGUAGUUGGGUCUUUCUAUUUUUAUCUUAAGUGACAAAUUAGGUCUUUUAAUUGAUGUGUAGGCAGUGUACAAUUAGUGUGUUAACAGUUUACAUUUAAGUCUGCCAUCUGGCUGUAUAUUUUAUCCUAUGGAUAUUUUAUUCACAUUUUCCUUUCCUAUUCCCUCUAUAAUUUUGGAUCAGUUGAACAUUUGGUGUUAUUCCAUUUUAUCUCCACAAUUGGCUUACUAGUUAUAUGUCUUUAAACAUUUUUUCGAAACGGUUGCUCUGGGGUUCUAAUAUAUAUUGUUGCUUUUCACACUGUGCCUUCAAACGAUAUUAUACCACUUCCUGUACACUGUCAGAAUCGUAGGACUAUGUACCUUCAUGUCCUUUCUCCCAGCCUUAGUGCUAUUGUUUUCUUGCAUUUUAUUUCUACCAAGGUCGUAAACCCCACAAUACAUUGUUACUAUUAUUUAGAUGGUUUUCUUUUACUGAGAUUAAAUAUAAGGAAAAAAUUCGUAUACGCCCGCAACUUUACCACAUCCAGCACUAUUCAGUUCUUUGUAUAGAUCCAGAUUUUCUUUGGAUUUCAUUUGCCUUCUUCCUGAGGAACUCCCUUUAACGUGUUGUGUAGGGCAGAUCUUCUGGCAAUGAAUUUUAUCAGCUUUUUUAUUUCUUUGAAAGUUUUUGUUUCACCUUCAUUUUCAAGAAACAUUUGCAUUAAUCAGAAAAUUCUGGCUUGCAUGGAUUCUGAUCAGUCGUCUGCCCAUUCUGUCCUGUUUGUUCCCUUGUAUGUAAUGUAUCUCUUCUUUUCCUUUUCUGUCACAGGAUGUCAGUGUUGGUGUUUGAAUCAGUCUUUCCAUUAGUUGAUUGGGCUUGAGUCCUGUGUUGCUAUAAUCACUUUAAAUAUAAAAUAGACUUGGGAACCUGGGUGGCUCAGUCAGUUGAGCGUCUGACUUCUGCUCAGGUCAUGAUCUCCUGGUUCGUGAGUUUGAGUCCUGCAUUGGGCUCCCUGCUGUCA